CACGUAGGGCGCAAGCGUUGUCCGGAAUUAUUGGGCGUAAAGCGCUCGCAGGUGGUUCGAUGCGUCGUGCGUGAAAGACCCCGGCUCAACUGGGGAGGGUCGUGCGAUACGGUCGAACUGGAGGCCAGUAGGGGGAUGCGGAAUUCCGGGUGUAGUGGUGGAAUGCGUAGAGAUCCGGAGGAACACCAGCGGCGAAGGCGGCAUCCUGGACUGGUCCUGACACUCAUGAGCGAAAGCGUGGGGAGCGAUCCGG
rnacentral:rRNA from 1 species